rnacentral:rRNA from 1 species
UAAUCCUACGGGGCGCAGCAGUGGGGAAUAUUGGACAAUGGGGGGAACCCUGAUCCAGCGACGCCGCGUGAGUGAAGAAGUAUUUCGGUAUGUAAAGCUCUAUCAGCAGGGAAGAAAGAAAUGACGGUACCUGACUAAGAAGCCCCGGCUAACUACGUGCCAGCAGCCGCGGUAAUACGUAGGGGGCAAGCGUUAUCCGGAUUUACUGGGUGUAAAGGGAGCGUAGACGGUUGUGCAAGUCUGGAGUGAAAGGGGGGGGCCCAACCCCCGGACUGCUUUGGAGACUGUAUAACUGGAGGGCAGGG